AGGAUCUCAUCCAGGUUCUGCCUCUUCUUGUAGUUGAAGUAGAAGUUCUUGCACUGCGACACGGUCUUGGAGCCCACCAUCCUGGCAAUGGCCGACCAGUUCCGCCCAUGCUCGAGGAGACCCUUCUUGGCCGUUUCCAUCUCCUCUUCAGUCCAGCGAGAGCUUUCAUUCAUUUCCAGAGAGGCCAGCUCGGCGCUCUGCUGCGGCGUGGCCGCCUCCUCGCUGUUGGCUUCGUUGGCCAUGGAGCGCGUGAUGCGGCCCUUGCGCCGGCCCUGGCUGUUGGCGGUUUUGCGGCCUUUGGAGGUGACGGUUUCCUUCUCAUCGUUGUCUUCCCCGGACGUGUCGUCGUUCUUGUCCUUUGUCAGUUCUUCUUUGUCAUUUUCUGUUUCCUGUUUGUCUUCCUCUUUGUCUCCCUCCUUCUCCUUUUCUUUCUCUUUUUCAUCUUUCUCUUCUUGGCUGCUCCGGGGCAUUUGCUGCUGCUGCUGGCUUUUCCCACGCCGCCGGUAAUUCCUCCUCACGAGGUUCUUGUAGUUCUCAUUCUUCUUGGUCAGGUAGUAGUACAGGACGCAGUCUGCCACCGUCUUCCUGUCCAGAAAGGAGGCAAU
rnacentral:lncRNA from 1 species